UCACCCCUCAAGCCCCGCGCUUGGUGUUGGACGGCCGGUUGAGCGAUCGACCCCUCCUAAAGACAAUGACGGCGGCCUGUGGUUCCCCCGGUACACUGAGCUUUUCAUCGAGCACGUAUCGGACAAGGGCACCCGGGACCCGGUCCUCUCCUUUAACUAGGAAACUUCUAA
rnacentral:misc_RNA from 2 species